CGACGAAGGAAACAUAAAAAAGAAAAGAGAGGAUAGGAAAAAAUGCCGUGCAGAAGAAAAGGGGGAAGAACUGAAAAGUCUGUUCUCUGUUCUCAUUUCUGGUC
rnacentral:ribozyme from 1 species